UGGGGUGUACCAUAGAAGGGGUCAACCCUUAU
rnacentral:piRNA from 1 species